rnacentral:rRNA from 1 species
AUUGAACGCUGGCGGCGUGCUUAACACAUGCAAGUCGAGCGGCAGCGCGGGAGCAAUCCUGGCGGCGAGCGGCGAACGGGUGAGUAAUGCUUCGGAAUCUGCCCUUCAGUGGGGAAUAACCAGUCGAAAGACUGGCUAAUACCGCAUACGAACUGAGGUUGAAAGCAGGGGAUCGCAAGACCUUGCGCUGAUGGAUGAGCCGAAGUCGGAUUAGCUUGUUGGUGGGGUAAUGGCCUACCAAGGCGACGAUCCGUAGCUGGUCUGAGAGGACGACCAGCCACACUGGGACUGAGACACGGCCCAGACUCCUACGGGAGGCAGCAGUGGGGGAAUAUUGGACAAUGGGGGCGAACCCUGAUCCAGCGACGCCGCGUGUGUGAAGAAGGCCUGCGGGUUGUAAAGCACUUUUAGUGGGGAGGAAGGUCUGCGACCUAACACGUCGUGGAAUUGACUUAA